AUGUGAGGUACCAUUCUAUUUAUUGUGCUAUUUGUUGUCUGAAUACCUUUUUUUUAAAAAUUGUGUUAUUGUUACAUAGGUCCUCUGAGAUUUAUGCUUUAUGGAGGUUCUAUUUUGGUGUAUCCUGAGGAUUUGUUUUAAGGUUUAGAGUUCCUUUUAGUGGUUCUUGUAGUUCUAGCUUGGUAGUCGUAAAUUUUCUCAGCAUUUAUUUGAAAAAGACCCAGAGCAGAA